GCUGGGUGCAGUAGCGCAAGCCUAUAAUCCCAGCAGCUUGGGAGGCUGAGGCAGGAGGAUCAGGAGUUCAAAGCCAUCCUCAGCAAUUUAGCAAGGCCCUAGGCAACUCAGUGAGAUCCUGCCUCUA
rnacentral:sRNA from 1 species